rnacentral:rRNA from 1 species
GACUACACGGGUAUCUAAUCCUGUUUGCUACCCACGCUUUCGCACCUCAGCGUCAGGGUCAGUCCAGAAAGCCGCCUUCGCCACUGGUAUUCCUCCUGAUUUCUACGCAUUUCACCGCUACACCAGGAAUUCUGCUUUCCUCUCCUGCCCUCAAGAAACCCAGUUUCAAAUGCCACCCCGUGGUUGAGCCACGGUCUUUCACACCUGACUUAGGUUCCCGCCUACGUGCUCUUUACGCCCAGUAAUUCCGGACAACGCUCGCCCCCUACGUCUUACCGCGGCUGCUGGCACGUAGUUAGCCGGGGCUUCCUCUUAGGGUACCGUCAUUCGUAGGUCAUAUUACUCCCCACGACAUUCGUCCCCUAAAACAGAGCUUUACAACCCUAAGGCCUUCUUCGCUCACGCGGCGUCGCUGCGUCAGGGUUUCCCCCAUUGCGCAAUAUUCCCCACUGCAGCCCCCCGUAGG